rnacentral:sRNA from 1 species
UUGCCUCGUCAUCAAAAACACACACGCACCGACACAUGGUCCCGGGUGCCGCGACGGCUUGGCCGAACGGUCGGAUCCAUGGGGUGUGUGGAGGCCUAAC